rnacentral:ncRNA from 1 species
GAACGCCGUGUGAGUUCGAAAGUCUCACGCAUGGUGUGGAGUGGGGAAAAAUCCAGAGAUAACUUCAAAGGAUUACCUAUCACUAU